GGGUCAUAGCUCAGUGGCAGAGCAUCUGCUUUGCAUGCAAAAAAUCCUGGGUUCAAUUAUCAGCAUAUCUA